GAUGAACGCUGGCGGCGUGCCUAAUACAUGCAAGUCGAGCGAACGGACGAGAAGCCUGCUUCUCUGAUGUUAGCGGCGGACGGGUGAGUAACACGUGGAUAACCUACCUAUAAGACUGGGAUAACUUCGGGAAACCGGAGCUAAUACCGGAUGAUAUUUUGAACCGCAUGGUUCAAAAGUGAAAGACGGUCUUGCUGUCACUUAUAGAUGGAUCCGCGCUGCAUUAGCUAGUUGGUAAGGUAACGGCUUACCAAGGAAACGAUGCAUAGCCGACCUGAGAGGGUGAUCGGCCACACUGGAACUGAGACACGGUCCAGACUCCUACGGGAGGCAGCAGUAGGGAAUCUUCCGCAAUGGGCGAAAGCCUGACGGAGCAACGCCGCGUGAGUGAUGAAGGUCUUCGGAUCGUAAAACUCUGUUAUUAGGGAAGAACAUAUGUGUAAGUAACUGUGCACAUCUUGACGGUACCUAAUCAGAAAGCCACGGCUAACUACGUG
rnacentral:rRNA from 1 species